rnacentral:rRNA from 1 species
CUUCCAGACUCCUACGGGAGGCAGCAGUGGGGGAUAUUGCACAAUGGGGGGAACCCUGAUGCAGCGACGCCGCGUGAGUGAAGACGGCCUUCGGGUUGUAAAGCUCUGUCAAUCGGGACGAAGAAGAUGACGGUACCGAUGAAGGAAGCCCCGGCUAACUACGUGCCAGCAGCCGCGGUAAUACGUAGGGGGCAAGCGUUAUCCGGAUUUACUGGGUGUAAAGGGGGCGCAGACGGCAGCGCAAGCCAGGAGUGAAAGCCCGGGGCCCAACCCCGGGACUGCUCUUGGAACUGCGCGGCUGGAGUGCAGGAGGGGCAGGCGGAAUUCCUGGUGUAGCGGUGAAAUGCGUAGAUAUCAGGAGGAACACCGGUGGCGAAGGCGGCCUGCUGGACUGCGACUGACGUUGAGGCCCGAAAGCGUGGGGAGCAAACAGGAUUAGAUACCCUCGUACU